AGUUGGGUGGGGGUGGGGCCUCUGGCGACUCGUGCAAUCAUCAGAUGCAGCGCGCUUCGGCAGGAGUUUAUUUAGGAAACCAAGGCACGUGUUCCAAGACUGGAGCAGGCUGUUCCUGAGAUCCGGGGCAGCAUGAGAGAAGAGGAUGCCGUGGACAGAGCAGGGCAGUGAGCAGCGCCCCUCGGUGGCCUCUGCAUCAGCUCUGCCCCCCCCCACUCCCCGACCAGCCCUGCUUGAGCUCCUGUCCUGACUUCCCCCAGUGAUGGAGUGUGAUCUGGAAGUAUGUUUGUAGAUGGCCUCACCCCAAGAAUGUGUCCUCCGUUUUCUUCUUCUGUCCCUCCCUUGUGCCAGCCCCAUCCCUGGAAUCUGAGACUUCCAUGCAUGUAUUCUCCCCCACGAUGGGAAACCUGUGAGGGGCUGUGAGGUCAGGUGGCUUGGUGGCCUCAGCCUCCCACAAUGCACUGGGCUUCCCGUGCUCAGCACAGGUUUUGGAACAGGGCUGCUACGAUCUGAGUCCCAGUGACUGCUGCUGGCUGUGUGACCUCAGGCCUGCCCUGUGCCCCCUAAUAUUAAAAUGGGGGUAAAAUGGCCCCAGCAGGCAGGUUUGCUGUGGAGAAUAAAC